CCCGGCACCGCCUUCCUAACGACUGUUUGUUUUUGCACACGGCACGCGGAGGCGGGGCCUCCAGCCCCAAUAGUGACGCGCUCUCCGCCUUUCACCAGGCGCCCAAGCCUGACGAACAGAAAGGCAAACCAAUGAGAUUGGACGCCUCGCAGACGAAAGCCAAUAAAAAUAUCGCCCGCGAGCAAGGGAGGCGGGCCACUGGGAAGGACAGCAAAAUUAGCUAAUAAGGUGAAGCGAUUGCAGGCGCUGUGGCUUUCCCGCCCAUUCGCAGCGUUGGUUUUCCCGCUUCUGAGACUUGUUUGGGGAAGUAAAGAGUGUUGGACGUGCUUCUCCUGGUGGGUUUUCACAAAGACUGUGAGGAUUUAUUCGUCUUAGAACGUGUGGAUCAGGAGGGCGCUGGGUUUCAAGGUUAGGCAGGCCUCAUGCUCAGCAGUAUUCUGGCGGACUGACUACCCUGACGUCCUCUCAGCGCGGACCCUGACAAGGUCCGCAGCAGGCUGAGGCGGGAGAAUUGCUUGAACCCCGGAGGCGGAGGUUGCAGUGAGCCGAGAUCGCGCCACUGCACUCCAGCUGGGCGACGCAUCGUCUCAAAACAAACAAACAAAAACAAAAGCUAUCAAUUGGCUACAUAUUAUUUGUAUGACAAAUUCUUUUUCCUUUUUUAGAGACGGAGUCCUGGGACUACAGGCACGCGCCCCAGUGCCCAGCUAACUUUUGUAUUUUUAAUAGAGACGGGGUUUCUCCGUGUUGGUCAGGCUGGUCUCGAACUCCUGACUUCAGGUGAUCUGCUCGCCUCUGCCUCCCAAAGUACUGGGAUUACAGGCGUGAGCCACCGCGCCCGGCAUGUAUUACAAAUUCUAAGAACACGAAGAUAAUGGGGCCGGCUUGGUGGCGCGAACCUGUAGCCUCACCUACUGUCAAGACAGACAGGAGGAUCUCUUGAGCCCAGGAGGUCGAGGCUGCAGUGAGUCAUGAUCGCACCACUGCACUCCAGCUUGGGAGACAGAAUAUACCCUGUCUAAAAAAUAAAAAAUAAAAAAAGGUUAAAAUUUGGAGGAUAACUCCCAGCUAGAAAGGAAGAAAAGCUCUAAAGUGGAAUCGCCUUCCCUCGGAAGCUGUUGUAAAAAUUAAAGGAUGUAUGUGAGUGCA